UCUGACUGUGUGAAGACGUCUGCAGUGAGAGAAUGUGUCAAUGGUUCAUUCUCCUCUUCCUCAGGUGUGGAGGUGAAGUGUUCAGACUCGGUGCGUCUGGUCUCGGGGCCCAGUCUGUGCUCAGGAUCAGUGCAGAUCUGGGACCAGUCCUGGACCUGGGUCUGUGAAGGGGCCUUGGACCAGCAGGGGGCAGAGGUGCUGUGCAGGGAGCUGGGCUGUGGGGCUCCUUCUCUCCUCCAGGGGGCGCUCUCUCCUCUGAAGCAGAGGUUCCACUGUGAGGGCCAUGAGUCUGCUCUGAUAGACUGUCCCCGCUCCGGCUCAGAGACCUGCUCCUCUGGAGCCGCUGUCAACCUCACCUGCUCAGAGCUCAGGCUGGUGGGAGGGGCCAGUCACUGUGCUGGGACUGUGGAGCUGAGACACAGAGGAGAGUGG